rnacentral:rRNA from 1 species
UACGGAGGGUGCGAGCGUUGUCCGGAUUUACUGGGCGUAAAGAGCUCGCAUGCGGCCAAGUCAGUCGAAUGUGAAAGCCCCCGGCUCAACUGGGGAGGGUCAUUCGAUACUGCUCGGCUCGAAGACAGGAGAGGGAAGUGGAAUUCCCGGUGUAGUGGUGAAAUGCGUAGAUAUCGGGAGGAACACCAGUGGCGAAGGCGACUUUCUGGCCUGUUCUUGACGCUGAGGCGCGAAAGCUAGGGGAGCAAACGGG